UCGACGUCCUAUGGGUCCCAAGAAAGCCAGGGCUGAGCCCCAGGGCUCUAAGUCAGCUGGGUCCCGCUGUGGCAACAGGGAGGGCUGCCAGCUGCUGGCCAGCCUGGGCACUGCUGUCCCAGCACAGUGAGAGCACCUGAGUGUGACAGCCAGCACGCUGCUCUCCUAUGCGUAAUUUGCUGCGAUCGUGUUAUAAAUCAAGAUGAGACUGCUAAAAUUACGUAUGACCUCAUUUGAUAGAUUAUCUAAUAAGGAAUUUGCUAAUGCAGUUUAUCACUUAAAAAGCCAUACGACUGUUAAGGAUGAGUACUUUGCUGCAGCACAUUUAAACCUAAUUGUCAGAGGAGAAAAGCAAGCAGAUUUCAGAGGAAACAAAUGAAGCCACAGGUGGUCCCAAAAGACCAGAGACAGAUGUGAAAAGAACCAAUAAUGAAAGAACUAGAAAAUUCUAGAAGUGAAAGGAGGGAGCUACUGAGGCAUCGAUACACCAUGCAGUUUGGCAGCUAGGCAUUGCUACAGUCAUGCUGCCACAAAUCCCACUAGAAACAUUACAGUGACAUUUCAGCACCAUCAGGAGCAGACCAGAGUGAACUAGGACAGACAGUUCAGUUCCUGGACAAUGAACAAC
ensembl:lncRNA